ensembl:ncRNA F16H9.5 ncRNA
AGGUGGAACUAUAUGCGAAGUCUCUCUCUCUCACAUGAGUUGGGCGUGUGAUAUAAGACAGCGCAUUUCUCUCUCGCUUUGUGCUCUAUAU